AACCGUAAAAUUACGUUUUCCCGC
rnacentral:snRNA from 1 species